rnacentral:rRNA from 1 species
AGUGAACGCUGGCGGUAGGCCUAACACAUGCAAGUCGAACGGCAGCACAGUAAGAGCUUGCUCUUACGGGUGGCGGGUGGCGGACGGGUGAGGAAUACAGCGGAAUCUACUUUUUCGGGGGGGAUAACGUAGGGAAACUGACGCUAAUACCUCAUACGACCUACGGGUGAAAGCAGGGGUUCUUCGUACCUUGCGCGAUUGAAUGAGCCGAUGUCGGAUGAGUUAGUUGGCGGGGUAAAGGCCCACCAAGGCGACGGUCCGUAGCUGGCCUGAGAGGAUGAUGAGCCACACUGGACCUGAGACACGGUCCAGACUCCUACGGGAGGCACCAGUGGGGAAUAUUGGAAAAUGGGGGAAAGCCUGCUCCAGCACUACCGCGUGGGUGAAGAAGGCCUUCGGGUUGUAAAGCCCUUUUGUUGGGAAAGAAAAGCAGCAGGUUAAUAACCCGCUGUUCUGACGGUACCCAAAGAAUAAGCAACGGCUAACUUCGUG